CAAAAGGCUUGGUCCUGACUUUACUAUCAGCUUUAACUGAACUUACACAUGCAAGUCUCCGCACUCCUGUGAGGAUGCCCUUAAUCCCCUGCCCGGGGACGAGGAGCCGGCAUCAGGCGCGCCCAGGCAGCCCAAGACGCCUUGCUAAGCCACACCCCCAAGGAAACUCAGCAGUGAUAGAUAUUAAGCCAUAAGCGAAAGCUUGACUUAGUUAAGGUUAAGAGGGCCGGUAAAACUCGUGCCAGCCACCGCGGUUAUACGAGAGGCCCUAGUUGAUAAAUACCGGCGUAAAGAGUGGUUACGAAAAAAUGUUUAAUAAAGCCGAACACCCCCUCAGCCGUCAUACGCACCUGGAGGCACGAAGACCUACUGCGAAAGCAGCUUUAAUUAUACCCGAAUCCACGACAGCUACGACACAAACUGGGAUUAGAUACCCCACUAUGCCUAGCCGUAAACUUUGAUAGAAAAAUACAACUGAUAUCCGCCAGGGAACUACAAGCGCCAGCUUAAAACCCAAAGGACUUGGCGGUGCCUCAGACCCACCUAGAGGAGCCUGUUCUAGAACCGAUAACCCCCGUUCAACCUCACCACCUCUUGUUUUCCCCGCCUAUAUACCACCGUCGUCAGCUUACCCUGUGAAGGCCCUAUAGUAAGCAAAAUGGGCAAAACCCAAAACGUCAGGUCGAGGUGUAGCGCAUGGGGUGGGAAGAAAUGGGCUACAUUCUCUAAAUUAGAGCACUACGAACCACGUUGUGAAACCAACGUCCGAAGGUGGAUUUAGCAGUAAAUAGAAAACAGAGAGUUCUCUUGAAACUGGCUCUGAGGCGCGCACACACCGCCCGUCACUCUCCCCAAGUUUAAUUUAUCCUUCUAACUAAGAAGUUAACCAAACAAAGGGGAGGCAAGUCGUAACAUGGUAAGUGUACCGGAAGGUGCGCUUGGAAUAAC
rnacentral:ncRNA from 1 species